rnacentral:rRNA from 1 species
UACCAGCACCCCGAGUGGUCGGGACGAUUAUUGGGCCUAAAGCAUCCGUAGCCGGCCUUACAAGUCCUCCGUUAAAUCCAGCUGUUUAACAGAUGGGCUGCGGAGGAUACUAUAAGACUAGGAGGCAGGAGAGGCAAGCGGUACUCAGUGGGUAGGGGUAAAAUCCGUUGAUCCAUUGAAGACCACCAGUGGCGAAGGCGGCUUGCCAGAAUGCGCUCGACGGUGAGGGAUGAAAGCUGGGGGAGCAAACCGG